rnacentral:rRNA from 1 species
UUAAAGGAAUUGACGGAAGGGCACACAAGCGGUGGAGCUUGCGGCUCAAUUCGACUCAACACGGUGAAGCCUACCAGAAUAGGACACAGGAAGGAUUGACAGAUUGAGAGCUCUUUCUUGAUUCUGUGGGUGGUGGUGCAUGGCCGCUCCUGGUCCGUGGAUUGAUUUGUCAGAUUUAUUUCGAUAACGAACGAGAUUCUAGCCUACUAAAUAGACGUCCCGAUCCUCCCUGUCGGACGGCUCUUCUUAGAGGGACGGGCGGCAUAUAAGCCGCACGAAGCAGU